rnacentral:rRNA from 1 species
UACGGGGGGAGCAAGCGUUGUUCGGAUUUACUGGGCGUAAAGGGCGCGUAGGCGGCCAGCACAAGUCAGUUGUGAAAUCUCCGAGCUUAACUCGGAAAGGUCAACUGAUACUGUGCGGCUAGAGUGCGGAAGGGGCAACUGGAAUUCUUGGUGUAGCGGUGAAAUGCGUAGAUAUCAAGCAGAACACCUGCGGCGAAGGCGGCCUUCUGGACGAUGACUGACGCUGAGACGCGAAAGCGUGGGGAGCGAACAGG